rnacentral:tRNA from 1 species
GGGGGCGUAGCUCAGUUGGUAGAGCGCUUGCAUGGCAUGCAAGAGGUAGUGGGUUCGAUCCCCAUCGCCUCCA